rnacentral:rRNA from 1 species
CAGUCGAACGGUAACAGGGUAGCAAUACCGCUGACGAGUGGCGCACGGGUGCGUAACACGUAUGCAAUCUACCCGCAACAGGGGCAUAGCCCGGAGAAAUCCGGAUUAAUUCCCCAUAAAACAGGGAUACCACAUGGUAAUAUUUGUUAAAACUCAGGUGGUUGCGGAUGAGCAUGCGGCCCAUUAGCCAGUUGGUGAGGUAACGGCUCACCAAAGCAACGAUGGGUAGGGGGUCUGAGAGGACGAUCCCCCACACGGGUACUGAGACACGGACCCGACUCCUACGGGAGGCAGCAGUGAGGAAUAUUGGACAAUGGAGGCAACUCUGAUCCAGCCAUGCCGCGUGAAGGAUGAAGGCGCUAUGCGUUGUAAACUUCUUUUCUACGGGAAGAAAAAGUCCGAUUCGUUCGGAUACUGACGGUACUGUAGGAAUAAGCAUCGGCUAACUCCGUGCCAGCAGCCGCGGUAAUACGGAGGAUGCAAGCGUUAUCCGGAUUCAUUGGGUUUAAAGGGUGCGCAGGCGGGACGGUAAGUCAGUGGUGAAAUCCGGCAGCUCAACUGCCGAAUUGCCAUUGAUACUGCUGUUCUUGAGUACAGUUGAAGUGGGCGGAAUAUGUCAUGUAGCGGUGAAAUGUGCAGAUAUGACAUAGAACACCGAUUGCGAAGGCAGCUCACUAAGCUGUUACUGACGCUCAGGCACGAAAGCGUGGGUAUCAAACAGGAUUAGAUACCCUGGUAGUCCACGCUGUAAACGAUGAUCACUCGAUGUUGGCGAUAUACAGUCAGCGUCUAAGCAAAAGCAUUAAGUGAUCCACCUGGGGAGUACGAUCGCAAGAUUGAAACUCAAAGGAAUUGACGGGGGCCCGCACAAGCGGUGGAGCAUGUGGUUUAAUUCGAUGGUACGCGAGGAACCUUACCAGGGCUUAAAUGUAGAACGACCGCACCGGAAACGGUGCCUUUCGCAAGAACGGUCUACAAGGUGCUGCAUGGCUGUCGUCAGCUCGUGCCGUGAGGUGUAGGGUUAAGUCCCAUAACGAGCGCAACCCCUAUCUUUAGUUGCCAGCGGAUAAUGCCGGGGACUCUAAAGAAACUGCCCGCGCAAGCGGUGAGGAAGGAGGGGACGAUGUCAAGUCAUCACGGCCCUUACGCUCUGGGCGACACACGUGCUACAAUGGCCGGUACAAAGGGCAGCUACACAGCAAUGUGAUGCUAAUCUCUAAAACCGGUCUCAGUUCGGAUUGGAGUCUGCAACCCGACUCCAUGAAGCUGGAAUCGCUAGUAAUCGCGCAUCAGCCAUGGCGCGGUGAAUACGUUCCCGGGCCUUGUACACACCGCCCGUCAAGCCAUGGAAGCUGGGGAUACCUGAAGUCAGUGCCGCAAGGCG